GCAUUGCUCUUUGGGGACCAGAGGCAAUUGAGAAGGUGGGGAAGGGAAUGGCUUGUUAGGCUCAGGGUGUAGAGAGAGGUGGGAACAGUUCAUGAAAGUAAUGAGUUGAGGAGAAAGUAACAAGGAUGCUGAGGAAGCUCAUUCUUUUUCUGAUUCUUUUGCAGUCAUUCAUGGGAGAAAAAAUGGGAACUCUAGGAAGAAAGACAAGAGGAAGAAGAUAAAAUAAUAAAAAUGUGCCUUUGUGCAAUGAAAAGUCAUUUCCUCUUCGCCCACACACGCACAGGUUUUAAGAACAGAAUGUAUUGUUUCAUGUAGUAAAAAAAUAUGAAAGGGCAGAGAACAAAAUAAGGGGGUUUGCUCUUUGUGGCUUUUUCUUUGUUUGGGUUUUUUUUUUUGGUUAGUUUUGUUUUUGUUUUUUCGGGGGGUUUUUUUGGUUGGUUAUUUUCUUUGGUUGGUUUUUUCUUUUCAGUGGUUUUUGUUUGUUUGCUUGUUUGGUUUUGGGGUUUUCUUAGGAUAAAUCCAUAACUUUUCAAUUUUGUUUUUUUCAGAAAUCCAGCUGAGCUCUGUGGUUCCAUGACAGAGACAGCUGUACCCAGGAUGGUUCUGACUCCAAGGCAGGACCAAAUCCUGCCUGCGUGGGAAGACAUGGUACAGAAGGGAGAAACAUCAUCUGAUGGUGAAAAUUAAGCCUCAGAAA
rnacentral:lncRNA from 1 species